AGGAAGUUAGCUUUCUGUUACUGUAACAAAUACCUGAGAUACUCAGUUUAUAAAGAGAAAGGAUUUACUGUGGCUCACAGUUUUAGAGGUUACAGUCUGUGAUUAGUUGGUCCCAUUCCCUUUGGGCCUGUGGCAAGGCAGUACAUCAUGGCAGGACUGUGGCUGAAGUCUGUUCACCUUAAGGCUGGGUAUGAGAGAAAGAGAAAAGAUCUGGUCCCCCAAAUCCUCUUCAAGAGCACACCCCCAGUCAUUUAAAACUUCUCAUUAGACCCCACCUCUUACAGGUUCUACUACCUCCUAGUAGUGUCAAGCUUGGGAAUAAGCCUUCAACACACAGAUAUUGGGGGACAUUCCAAAUCCAAACUACACAGAAAGUGAUAGAAGCAAGGCAGAGAAGGAAAUAACACCAAGCAGAAAUAAUUUCUGGCAAAAGUUCCACAGAAGCCUUGGAAAACCUUAGAAAUCUCCCUGCUUCAGACAGUGCAGCACCACAAGAUGGUGAACUUUUGUCAGCCUGCAUCCUUGAAUUAUUUCCUUCUGACCUAUUGUCCUGUUUACCUACUUCAAAAGAUGAAAGUGCUGACCUGCUUCAUAGAAAUGUUGUUUAAUUAAUACAAGCCCUUCUCAAACAUGAAGAACUAGUACAACUUCUUUGGGAGCUAUGCUGCUAAAAGACAACAUGGGUUUAAAUCUUUAGACUGGAAUAAAUCUAAAAGAGGACAUAAUCGUUGGCUUUCUUCCACUAGUAUUAAAGGACUUUAUAGAUCUUUAAUGAUCUCAGAUGAAAGAAAAUGGAAAAUGUAUGAUCAUUCCAUGACAAGGUGGAAACAUUUCACAGCAGACAGGAACUUUUUCAGUUACCAGCAUUGAAACAGAAUUCCAGGAAUAAGUACUCAGAUG
rnacentral:lncRNA from 1 species